CUUCUUGUAAGCCAUAUGGUCAAAUUUGUUUCCCAACUUUAGCCACUGAAACUAUCUUUGCUGUUGGAGACAAGAUCCAUAUCUAAUUGUGAGCGAAAUAUCAGUUCGUGCUGCUCCUGUAAAGUAUCAACUCAUCUGUACAUCCUCCUUGCUCAGGCAUAUGUUAAUUUCUCUGAACAUUGGUUGGACAUUGCCCAUGUAACACUCCAACUCCUAUCACCUUAGCCCCAGAUGAUACCGAUGCGUCACCCAGUGUGUUGAGCAGUUGGCCAUGGUUGGGAGCCAGGGAGCAGCACGACAUGAGGGCACGACACUCAGGCAAGAACUUACUUUGCAGAGUUAGGUAAAUCUUAGGGCAAGCAGCUCGGAUUACUGAUGGCGUGGAUGGCCGCGAGGUACUUGAUCAACGGAUUAGAUGUGGAGUGGAGUCAAUGAAGGGAUGUGUAGCAGAUCAAGUGUGAAGGUUAGGGAAAUAGGUUAAGGGAAAGAUAUUGGACCGUCAACGCAAAUCGUGAUGUGGAUGGACGGUAUUAGCCAAGAAAUUGUUUACGAAGGCAAACAUUUGUAAUAGUUUCUGGUUCCCGUGGUAUCAGUAAAGGGGCACAAAAUCUCGAACCAAACUUUUUCUGUCUUGCUACUCACAAAAGUAGAAACAU